CCUACGGGAGGCAGCAGUGGGGAAUUUUGGACAAUGGACGCAAGUCUGAUCCAGCCAUGCCGCGUGUGGGAAGAAGGCCUUCGGGUUGUAAACCACUUUUGUCAGGGAAGAAACGGUCUGGGUUAAUACCUUGGGCUAAUGACGGUACCUGAAGAAUAAGCACCGGCUAACUACGUGCCAGCAGCCGCGGUAAUACGUAGGGUGCAAGCGUUAAUCGGAAUUACUGGGCGUAAAGCGUGCGCAGGCGGUUAUGCAAGACAGAUGUGAAAUCCCCGGGCUCAACCUGGGAACUGCAUUUGUGACUGCAUGGCUAGAGUACGGUAGAGGGGGAUGGAAUUCCGCGUGUAGCAGUGAAAUGCGUAGAUAUGCGGAGGAACACCGAUGGCGAAGGCAAUCCCCUGGACCUGUACUGACGCUCAUGCACGAAAGCGUGGGGAGCAAACAGGAUUAGAUACCCUGGUAGUCCACGCCCUAAACGAUGUCAACUGGUUGUUGGGAGGGUUUCUUCUCAGUAACGUAGCUAACGCGUGAAGUUGACCGCCUGGGGNGACGCGCGAGUAGAAGUAAUAGAGUGAGNGNGAGAGUGCGAGACGACGACGAGGGAGGAGG
rnacentral:rRNA from 1 species